CUGGGCUCUGACCGUUAACCACAGGUUCUGUCAGACCUGGGCUCUGACCGUUAACCACAGGUUCUGUCAGUCCUGGGCUCUGACCGUUAACCUCAGGUUCUGUCAGACCUGGGCUCUGACCGUUAACCUAAAAAAAACAAAUAUAAUGAUAUUCCAAAAAAAGGUCUGGAAAUAAAUUCUAUUUGGACACAGUUCUAUUAGAACACACCAAAAACUACACGUAUCUAGGACUAAAUAUCACCAACACAGGUAGCUUUCACAUGGCUGUGAAGGAGCUGAGAGACAAAGCAAGAAGAGCAGUCUAUGCCAUUAAAAGGAACAUCAAAAUCAAAAUUCCAAUUAGAAUCUGGCUCAAAAUGUUCCAAUCAGUUCUAGAACCAGUUGCUCUAUUUGGCAGUGAAGUAUGGGGUCCAAUCUCUAAUAAUGAAUUCACCAAAUGGGACAAACAUCCAAUCGAAACACUGCAUGCAGAGUUUUGCAAGACUGUAUUGCAAGUGCAAAGAAAAACUCCAAAUAACCCAUGUAGAGCAGAAUUGGGCCAAUACCCCCUCCUCAUUCAAAUAGAACAAAUAGCCAUCAAAUUUUACAACCAUCUAAAAACAAUAACACAGCUCUGCAAUGUCAAGAGAUGAAACAAGAGAAGAGUCCCCUCAGCCAGCUGGUUCUGAGGCUCAGUUCACAAACCCAAACCAACCCCAUAGAGCCUCAGGACAGCACUCAGAAAAUCUAGCCCAACCAAAUCAUCACAAAACAAAAAUAAAAUAUAUCACUUAUUGGAAAGACACCACAAAAAAAUAAAAAGUAAAAAAGUAAACUUCAAUGCUAUUUGGCUCUAAACAGACAGGACAUGGUGGCAGACUAUCUGACCACUGUGACUGAAAACUGAGGAAAACAUUGACCAGACUCAGUGAGGACAGUCUGGCUAUAGAGACCGGUCGUCACAGACAAACCUGGCUGCCCAGAGAGGACAGGCUGUGCUCACUCUGCUCCAGGGGAGAGGUAGAGACAGAGCUGCAUUUCCUAUUACACUGUGACAAAUACUCAGACCUAAGAGAAUAUUUAUUUACCAAAAUUAUAAUUCAAUACAAAGAAUUUGAAACUAUAAAAUCAAAUAUUUAUUGGGUGAAAAGCCAAAAUGUGCAGUUUUGGCAGCCAAAUAUGUGUCCUCCUGCCACAACCUGAGGGACAGCCAGUGAAAAGUGCAAAGUAAUGUCGAUAAUAUUUCCCAUCUUGUUUUGUUUUGUCUUGUCUUUCAUACCAGGUCAUGUGUCUUCUCAGUCAGAGACAGAGAGAGAGAAAGAGAAAGAGAGAGAGAGCAGCAUUUUGCAUUUACACAUACACACUUUAGCACACUGCACUCCAAGCUUGGGUUGCCCUCACCCCUGGUGUCCCAUCCAUCUACCUCCCCAGUCCUCCUCACCCCACAGUGUUAUCCUCUCACCCCACAG
ensembl:lncRNA